rnacentral:rRNA from 1 species
AUUGAACGCUGGCGGCAUGCCUUACACAUGCAAGUCGAACGGCAGCACGGGUGCUUGCACCUGGUGGCGAGUGGCGAACGGGUGAGUAAUACAUCGGAACAUGUCCUGUAGUGGGGGAUAGCCCGGCGAAAGCCGGAUUAAUACCGCAUACGAUCCACGGAUGAAAGCGGGGGACCUUCGGGCCUCGCGCUAUAGGGUUGGCCGAUGGCUGAUUCGCUAGUUGGUGGGGUAAAGGCCUACCAAGGCGACGAUCAGUAGCUGGUCUGAGCGGGCGACCAGCCACACUGGGACUGAGACACGGCCCAGACUCCUACGGGAGCCAGCGGUGGGGAAUUUUGGACAAUGGGCGAAAGCCUGAUCCAGCAAUGCCGCGUGUGUGAAGAAGGCCUUCGGGUUGUAAAGCACUUUUGUUCGGAAAGAAAUCCUUGACUCUAAUACAGUCGGGGGAUGACGGUACCGGAAGAAUAAGCACCGGCUAACUACGUG